rnacentral:rRNA from 1 species
UACGUAGGGUGCGAGCGUUGUCCGGAAUUACUGGGCGUAAAGAGCUCGUAGGUGGCUUGUCGCGUUGUCCGUGAAAACUCACAGCUUAACUGUGGGCGUGCGGGCGAUACGGGCAGACUGGAGUACUGCAGGGGAGACUGGAAUUCCUGGUGUAGCGGUGGAAUGCGCAGAUAUCAGGAGGAACACCGGUGGCGAAGGCGGGUCUCUGGGCAGUAACUGACGCUGAGGAGCGAAAGCGUGGGGAGCGAACAGG